rnacentral:lncRNA from 1 species
CAUAGCGAGGGUCUCAAAUCCAGCAGCUUUGAUGCCUUCAGGUAGCAUGUGUGGGCUUAUUGACCGGUUGCCUUCACCCACAAAGAUAACGUUC